rnacentral:rRNA from 1 species
CCUACGUGGGGCAGCAGUGGGGAAUAUUUCACAAUGGGGGAAACCCUGAUGCCGCGCCGCCGCGUGAGUGAAGAAGUAUUUCGGUAUGUAAAGCUCUAUCAGCAGGGACGACAAUGACGGUACCUGACUAAGAAGCCCCGACUAACUCCGUGCCAGCAGCCGCGGUAAUACGUAGGGGGCACGCGUUAUCCGGAUUUACUGGGUGUAAAGGGAGCGUCGACGGCAGAGCAAGUCUGAAGUGAAAGCCCGGGGCCCAACUGCGGGACUGCUGUGGAAACUGCCCGGCUAGAGUGCUGGAGAGGUAAGCGGAAGUCCUGGUGUAGCGGUGAAAUGCGUAGAUAGUAGGAGGAACACCAGUGGCGAAGGCGGCUUACUGGACAGUAACUGACGUUGAGGCUCGAAAGCGUGGGGAGCAAACAGGAUUAGAUACCCGGGUAGUC